rnacentral:rRNA from 1 species
AUUGAACGCUGGCGGCAUGCUUUACACAUGCAAGUCGAACGGUAACAGGGUGCUUGCACCGCUGACGAGUGGCGAACGGGUGAGUAAUGCGUCGGAACGUGCCGAGUAGUGGGGGAUAACGCAGCGAAAGUUGUGCUAAUACCGCAUACGUACUGAGGUAGAAAGUGGGGGACCUUCGGGCCUCACGCUAUUCGAGCGGCCGACGUCUGAUUAGCUAGUAGGUGAGGUAAAGGCUCACCUAGGCGACGAUCAGUAGCGGGUCUGAGAGGAUGAGCCGCCACACUGGGACUGAGACACGGCCCAGACUCCUACGGGAGGCAGCAGUGGGGAAUUUUGGACAAUGGGCGAAAGCCUGAUCCAGCCAUGCCGCGUGUCUGAAGAAGGCCUUCGGGUUGUAAACUGCUUUUGUACGGAACGAAACGGCGAGCUCUAAUACAGUUUGCUAAUGACGGUACCGUAAGAAUAAGCACCGGCUAACUACGUGCCAGCAGCCGCAGUAA